UAUUGCAAUCCAAGAAUAAGAAGGAGGAGAAGGAAGCGGAAGCAGGACAAGAAGAAAGCCACGACAACGACGACGAAGAAGAAGAAGAAGAAGAAGAAGUAAUAAUAAUAAUCAGAAUCAUAGUAGCAGCAGUAGUAGUAGUAGUAGUAGUAGUAGCAGCAGCAGUAGUAGGCUAGCAGCAGCAGCAGCAGUAGUGGUUGUUCGGCCGAUGUUUUGGAGCUUGGUAAACUCACAUUUCUUCCCGAACAGCAUUGAUAAGCACAUUUAAGUACAAUGACUCGCCAUGGAAAGAACUGUACGGCCGGAGCUGUCUACACAUACCACGAGAAAAAAGAAAGAUACAGCGGCGUCUGGUUAUGGAACACAGAGCAUUCGACUAGGCAAAGAUGCGAUCAAAGACUUUGACUGCUGCUGCCUGUCCCUGCAGCCCUGUCAGGAUCCUGUGGUGAC